rnacentral:rRNA from 1 species
UACGAGGGGGGCAAGCGUUGUUCGGAAUUAUUGGGCGUAAAGGGCGCGUAGGCGGCGCCACAAGUCACUUGUGAAAACUCUGGGCUCAACUCAGAGCCUGCAAGCGAAACUGUGGUGCUGGAGUAUGGGAGAGGUGCGUGGAAUUCCCGGUGUAGCGGUGAAAUGCGUAGAUAUUCGGAAGAACACCAGUGGCGAAGGCGGCUCACUGGCCCGGUACUGACGCUGAGAUACGAAAGCGUGGGGAGCAAACAGG